GUCCAGCGUGCCUGUGGAGAGAGCAGUGUCGUCGUGCAGUCGGACACGGCCUGAUCAGCAGCUUAUGCGAUGUGCAAAGAGGUUCUCCGAGCACUUGGACCUGAAGCAGCUGGAUGCAGCUGAUGCCGAGGCAGCAAAGUGUGAUGGAGCAACACUUGAAUCCCUCCUGACUUUCAGUUCCCUUAUUCUUAUCAACUCUAAGAGCAGAGGCAACUACUCUGAAGAUGACAAGAUGUGACCGGCGCAGCUCCCCAGUGAGACAGGAAACACUUCAGGUAAACCACAUGUACAUGUGUAAGAACGCGCCUCGCAACAUUAUUUGCAAUUUAAAAAAAUGGAAACAAUGAGAGAGUCGGUCAAUAAUGAAUAAAUGAGUUGUGAGACAUCUGUGCAACAGAAUACUAUUCAGUUAUAUAAAUGAACUACUCCUAUAAGUAUUGAUCUAUAAGAUGUAAUUGAUGUAUUAGUAAGAAAAAAAGCUAGAUGCUAAGCACAGUAUAGGACCUGAUAUCAUAUUUGUGGGGAAAAAAAGGAAGAAAUGUAUUAGUUUCCUCUGCAACAGCGUAAAACAAUAUACAUUUACCCUCCUACUGCUCUAAAGACUGGAAAUCCAACGUUCUGAAAGAGUGAAAGAUAUAUUAUUUGCUGUGCAGCAAAGAUGUCUAAAGUGCCAAGUAACCGGAACCCGCUCCUCCAAUGGAGUCUGCUUUCCUGAAGUCUGUAUAUGGCGUGGUCCACCCAUCAGCUACAAGUCAGAGCCCAGGAGAACCAUCCGCGAGCACAGGUUACCCAGAAAGCAUCUUCAUGUCUACAAGCCUGUUCAGGAAGCCACGUUUAACUUGGCUGUGGACACCUGGGCUACCAAAGAGCACUUGACAGUGACUGGGUUCAUCUCUGGCUAGCAGAAGCCUACUGGCCUUUCACCUCUGAUAUCAGGGAUGCUGUCUGCCAGACUUUUGCAGAAAUUUGCCAGCAUCCACAGUUCCUUCCCAAACAAUUAACCUCACCAAGAUUCAAGUGCCCGUGAAGAACUUACUCAAGCUGUACGACAGUGGGGACCCUGGUGACCUGAUACCAGAGGGCUGGUUUACUAGAUUGAACUCCAUGUUCUGAGCUGUCAAUUUUUUUUCUCUCUCUCUUUUUUUUUUUUUUUUUUUUUUUUUUGCCUUUUUCCUUUUUAUCAGUACCAGGGAUCGAACUCACGACUGCCUGCUUACAAGGCAGGCGCUUAUGCCGCUGAGCUAAGUCCCCAGCCCCCGAGCUGUCAAUUUUUAAUGCAUUGGAAAUUAAAUAUAUGGGAAAAUUUGUAGUUGAAUUUACCUUACUCUGUCAACAGUAAGCUGUAAAAACAGAACUAUGACACAUUUUUAAAAGUAAGCAGAGCAUUUUAUGUCACAGAAUUCCUUAAACCAAUUUAUUCUUAGUUGAUAAUGGAUAUAAUUUUUUCUUGAAAAGGUGUGAUUUUUUAAUAGACUACAGACACAUCGAUCAGAUAUCUAUGAUUAAUCGAAAACCAAAAUAAAUACAUUUUAUUAUAUCUCCAUCUUCGAGUAUGUUUUCUGAAAACUGUAGUAACAUAUAUUGACAGCAAUACUUUUAUAAUAUUUCUACAGGUCUCUUCCACUUGAGCAAAUUUCAAAGUAUUUUCAAAAUAGUUGCUUACACAUGUAGAAUUUCACAUCAUUGUGAUUAUUUCUACAUUUUUGACAAUAACCAGGUAUUUGACAAUAACUGUGUUCCCUCAUUUCGUACAUAGGCUUUGACCACCAUGCAACAUCAUCUCUGCCGUAUAUAUUUCUUAAAACAAAAGUAAGGUGUAAAUGACUUGAUCCCCCCUGCACACGCAUACUUGGGAGGAAAAAGGUACCAAUAAAAGUCCCUCCCAUGGUUAAGAGGUAAAGCAACACCAAACUGCAAAGAGGUUUUCAUAAAAGUACAAUUAAUUUAGGGGAUUUUGUUUCUUAGAAUUUGAUGUGCCAAAGAGACUAAUAAUGCUGAAGGACUUUAAGCUCAGAAGGAAUUUUGUUUAACAGUUUUAAAUAGAAUUUAAACAGAAUUCUGUAUUCUAUAACAAAACACAUACUAUUCCUUGGACAAGAAACAGUGAAAAGGGGACUAUUCUUGUCCAAAGAAUAUCUGCAAAACUCAGUCACACGCUUGCCCACAGAAAUUAAAAAUAAACACACACAUAGUGUAUGCUUUCUAGCUACAAUGCAAUAGAACUAGAAUUAAUAUUUUAAAAGGUGGCAAGAGCUGGAGAUGUAGCUCAGUUUUACAGCCUGUGGUGAGCGUGGGCGAGGCUCUGGGUUCCAUCUCCAGCUCGGAAAAAUUACAGCAAAUCCAGAAGUAUUUAACUCGAAUUGUUACUAGCAGGCAUUCCAAAAUGAAAAGAGAUACCAGCUGCAGGAUGAAACCGGUAUUGGAGUUCGCGGUGAAGAGACAGAAAGAGCCUGGGCCGCAGGGAUGACACUUUCACUUGAAUCGUACCAACUGAAAUGGAGCCAUACUUUGUCUGCACCCGAGUUACGAGUUACGCGAACCUUUAAUUUCCUUGUUAUUUAAAUCUUCUUGGCUUCCAGCCGGAAGCAUUCGAUCCCAUGCCAUCAGGUUAAAAUCUUGUCAUUCUUUUAUUUCAAUUAUUUAUGUUAGAACUUGAAAUAGUAUUUCAUAUAGCUUUUCAAUAUGUCUAGUAUUUACUGAGCCAGACAUCAUUUCAUUUGAUAACUAUUAUGAGAGAAAUAAUAAUAGAUGGCACUAUUACCUGGCUGAAACUGUUCUAAGCAUUUUUACACAUAUUAACUCAUUGCAUGUCCUCGGCAAUACCAUGAGAUAAGAUAUGUUAUUCUCUUCAUUAUAUAAUAACAUUUAACUCCAGCCCAGUUCAAGGGAAAACAGAAUUCUCCAGUGCUAUGCUGUCCAUUACACUAGCCACCUGUGGCCACUGAACACUUGAGAUGUGGUCUAAAUGUGACGGUGUGCAUACCAGAUUUGAAAGGCUUUGUAUGAAUAAAAUAACACGAAGCCAGGCGUGGUGGCUCAUGCCUGUAAUCCCAGAACUCAGGAGGACCAUUGCAAGUUCAAGACCAGCCUGGGCUACAUAGUGAGCUGAGGGCCAGUUUGAACUGCAUAGCGAAACCUUGUCUACACACACACACACACACACACACACACACACACAAACAAAGAGGAAUACAAAAUAUCUUGGAAGUGUACUAAACUGAUUAUCUGUUUAAGAUAUUUUGGAUAUAUUGUCUUAAAACAUGGUGAAAGUUAAAUUUAUUUUUGACAUCUUCCUAUGCUUUCUUUAAAAAAAAAAGUCAUAUGCAUGGCUCGUUUUAUGUUGCUUUUGGACAGUGCUAUACUAUUGUGGUGCAGUGCUGGGCCAGCCGGAGCAGCUUCGUUUAGAAACUAAAUAAAAAAUCUGAAUGAAAACCUCGGGGUGACGCCCUGAAAACCUCGGGGUGACGCAAGCCCUCUGCGUGUGUGUGUGUGUGUGUGUGUGUGUGUGUGGGUGUGUGUGUGUGUAAUGAAAUCUCCAUUGGGCUAUAAAUCACUUGUUUAAAGUAGUUUGUUCCAUAGGGUUGUGCAAACAUCUAACUUGAAACAUUUGCAUCACCACAAAAAGAAAUCUCACUGCCGUUGUCCGUCACUCUCCGCACUCCCCACGCCAUGCCCUCCGCCCCAGGCGAUGGAUACUCUCAGUCUGGAGAAUUCACAGGAAUGGAAUCCCGCGAUGUGCAGGCUCUUGUGACUUGUGGCUUCUGCACUGACCACCCUGUUUCCUUCUGUGGCCUUGCUAAGUUGUGAAAACCGCUGCUUUAGGUAGAAAUGGAGAUGAAGCAGCCGCCGAGCUCCUGAAAAACAAAGGGUAUUUAAAAAAAAUACCCUGAUCAUAAAAGAAAAAGAGAACUCAGAAAGACAGACAGCAAAAGGUGAUUAAGCUUUUCAUGUGAGAAAAUAAGCUAUUAGGGCUGGGGGUUUAGCUUAGCGGCAUAAGCACCUGCCUUGCAAGCAGGCGGUCGUGAGUUCAAUCUCCGGUACCGAUAAAAAUGAAAAAGACAAAAAAAAAAAAAAAAAAAAAAAAGAAAAUAAGCUAUUUACUUUUGUUCCAAAAGUCUAGGAUGACAUGGAGGCCAAAUACAGGUAUACAUGAAUUAUAUUUCUGGCUUUGCUCUAUAACAGUUUUAAUCUUUAUAAACUCCUUAUGUUACCCAGAAAAUGAUAGUUAAAGCUAUGACAGUGGUGACAUUACCAAAGUGGGGAAACUAGGGCAAGAAAAGGCUGGCACUGAGAAGAGAAUGUUGGGAGACACAUCCUAGGCGGUUUACAAAAGGGUUCAUGUUCAUUUCCCCCCUGAAAUCUAGCCAUACCCCUGUGGGGAAGUGGUCACUGUCACCCUGUUAGCGCACAGCUGGUGGAUCACAGUUAACAUCACCAGUGGUGUAUCCACAGCACAUCCCCUUGAUGUGUGAUAAUCACUUUUUACCUGAGGUCUUCCUCUUCUAAACUGGUUACUUCAGUUAGAUCAUGACAAAAAUCAGAAAAUGCAUAUUGAGAGUAUUCUACAAAGUGUCCGACACUUUACACUUCAUAUAAAACAAGGAUUCUGCAAAACUGUCUAGCAGAGCUCAAGGAGCACGAUGAGCACCGCCCCUGUAUGCACACGUCACUUUUUUCAUUUAUAAGCACGGAUUCAUGUUGCAAAAUCACAAAUUCACAUUGGUAUCCUCGUCCCCUUUUUUGGUCAAGUACCAGAGGUUGACCUCAGGGCCUUUUCACUGUGCUACCCUCAAUUUUUACUUUUUUUCUUUUUCUUUCUUUUUUUUUUUUUUUUUUGUCUUUUUCAUUUUUAUCGGUACCGAGGAUCGAACUCACAACCGCUUGCUUGCAAGGAAGGUGCUUAUGCCGCUAGAGCUAAACCCCCAGCCCCCAAUUUUUACUGGUUUUAUCUGCAGACAGGUUCUCACUAAGUUACUAAGUUGCUCAGGCUGGGCUUGAACUUGCAGUCUUCUGCCUCAGCCUCCCAGGGUGCUGGGAAACUACAGGCAUGCACCCCCCCCCCCUGCCUGGUAUCCUCUUUGUUAACUGAAAAAUUCCCUAUAUAUUGUCUCACUUUACUGUGGAAAAUUUCAAACACACUGCAGAAUUAUCUGGGAAUAGUGUGGUAAACUCCAUGCAGCCAUCAGGGAGCUUCGGCGUCUCUUAGGUUUGGAGCCAGGUCAUGAUGAGAAUUUUAAGGAGUGCUGGAAAAAGCUUUUUAGUCCAUAUUAAAGUCAAAUGAGGAAUGAGAAGUUAUUUUCUUUCAUUGGACAUUGUUGUUCUACAGGACACUGUGGAUGGUGAUGAUAAGCAUCAAAGAUGCUAAGUAUUAUCAGCUCAAAGAAAAAAAGGUUUAAAAAAAAUGACAGGAUGAGAAAGGUGGAAGGAAUCUGAAGUUCUUGACAUUUUUGAACUAUCAACACAUUCUAGAAUUUAGUGCCUGUGGCAUCAGGUAAGGUUUGUUUUGUUUCAUUUUUCUUAUUACCAACAGCAUCUUUACUGAUGAAACCCCUUCAGUUAUGCGACCAAGGUUUAUAUACGAUGCUAUGGUCUGAAUGCUUGUGUCUCCUCCCAUUCUGUUUAAAUCUAAUCUCCAGUGUGCUGAUGGAAUUUGGAAAUGGGGCUUUUGGAAAGUAAUUAGGUCAUAACCUGGAGCCCUGAGGAGAGUAGAACUGGUGUUCUCCUAAGAUAUGAAAGACCAUUUCUCCUGGUCAUAUGAGGACAUAGCAAGCAGGUAUCGUAUCUUUUACAAGCCUGGAAGGGACCUCUGUAGUGUUUUUGUUAACAGUCUGAAGGAAGAGACGCUUUAGAAGCACGAAUGCCAUCUCAUCAUGGAAAAACAGGAAAACUUCUUCUGCCUUAGUUUGCCCUUUGCUAUCACCAUUUCUCAAAAAAGUUUAUGAAUUCAAAAAAGAAAUAAAUUAUUCUUAUUCCUACCAAGGCCUGACUACACAUUGUCUUAGUGAGCCCAGAAAACAAUUUAGUAAGAAUUACCUUUUGGCAAGAUUUAUUCAGCAAGCAGUAUUCUCUCCCUAACAAUAAGAUUUAAAUUACUAAACUUUCUAAUCUAAUUGACCUCCCCUUGCAGGAAAAACUGAGUUAACAACAGCCAAUAGGUCAAAAGAAAGGACUUUUAUUGAUGCUGGAGGACCCCAGAGGAGUAAUCUCCAGGGUCUGAGGUGAUGAUUGCAAAGAGCUCAUUUAUAGGGUGGUGAACAGAAAUUACAAAAAUGAGAUGAAGGGGCUGGGGAUUUAGCUCAGCGGCAUAAGGGCCUGCCUUUAGUUCAAUCCCUGGUACUGAUAAAAACUAAAAAGACAAAAAAAAAAAAAAAAAAAAAAAAAAAAAGAGGCAAAAACGAAAUGAACUCUAGCUGAAGGCUGUGGCACAAGGGGUAUCUUAUGCAGUGUGCAUAUGGAGCAAAGUCGUUUUUGGCACACCCACAGAAGUUUCAGCUUGAUGACAAACGAUUGAGCGGAGUUCAGUGGCAGACAACUGUAUGACUGCAGCCUUGUUGGACAAAAGGACAGCUGUUAGGUCAGGAUUUCUGCUUUACUCCUGUUCGGUAUUUCUAGUAUUUAACAUGUGAUGCUGGUCUUCAUAAAAUUUCCAUGACUCACUUUUUAAUACCCGGUCUUUUGAUUCUCUGUACUUUAUCUACCACAACCUUUUAUUCUUUAUUCACUGUCCUCCUCCCACCCUCCCCACGGUUCUGUGUUCCAGGCGGUCCAAAAUUACAGCUGCUCCCAGUUCGGAUCAAACUUGCAAGCCCUUUCAAAUCCUUUCAGUACUUUCUAAGGGAAGCCUUUUAUAAGAACUUGUUAGAUAGAAAUUUACAAAUUAAAAGUCUUAUUUAAAAUUUAUUUGUUUUUAUAGUACUGCUAGUUGCUUAAAUUUCUUAUGUGGCUCCAUUUCAUCCAAAAAGGAAAUGGAAAGUGCUUCUAGUAAUGCAAGAAAAAUUGGCAUGAGCCAGGCAUGGUGGUACAUGCCUAGCCUGUAACCUCAGCACUCGGGAUGCUGAGGCAGAAUUGCUGUGAGUUCAAGGCCAGCCUGGGCUACAUGGAGUUUAAGGCCAAUCUAGACUACAGAGCAAGAUCCUGCCUCAAAAAACCAAAAUCAUCAUCAACAACAACAAAUAGCCAUGGCUUACCCAAAGGUCUUCCACUAGAAUCUACAGAAAACCUGAAUGUAGUGUCUUGGUUACUUUUCUCUCAUUGUUGAGACAAAAUACCCAAUACCCCCAAAUUAAGGAAGGUUUAUUUAGCUUACAGUUGUGUAGGUUUCAGUUCACAGUCAGCUGGCACCAGGCAGGCUAGCAUGGCACCAGCACAACACUUCAGGACAGCAGCCAGCAAAAGCAGCCAGAGCGAAAGAGGGCAGAGCAGUCUCUUUUAUUCCUUUAUAUGGUACACAGGUCACCACCCAGCCUUUGGGGCAGGUUUAGCACUCACAAAAUCUCCUUGCCCUCCUCUGCAUAGGAUAAGGAUGCUUACAAAGAAAGAACCCUGGCUCUGUGCUGAGUCUCUUAAACUGCUAAACUGUUCAAGUUGACACAAUGUAACAACCAUGACAGGUGAUUUAGGUGUUCUACAUAGAGUUUGGUGCCAUUUUUAUUUUCUAGCCAUAAGAAAUCUUCAAACUCAUUCUGAUUUGUUGAAACUCACCAAAUGUCAAUUGUCACAGGCAAGUUAACUAAGCUGAUUUCUAAAACUACAUUACAUUAUCAGUGACUAUGCUUCCUGGCAUGAUUGAGACCUUGGGUAAAGAGGAUUCCUCUAAGUAACAGCAUCACCUGUGCAGGAAUAAGGGGGUGUCCCUCGAGCAAACUUGGGUUAAAAUUAUAUUUCUUCCUUCAAUGGAGCCACAGGUCCAAGAGCAAAGACCACAACCAGUGAAUUCACUGCAGGUUUUCACAAUAGGAAACCAGUGCUGGAGGUGUAGUAAGGUUUAAUUUUGAGGUAUAUGCUAAACACUAAGAUGAGAUCUUGCCUCAAGUUAGUUCCGCGGCUAGCCCGCUUUCUUUUUCAUAGGGUAGCUGGACUAUUAAAUGAGAAACAGUAUGCUAUUAAAUGAGAAACAGUAUGCUAUUAAAUGAGUAAAGUAUUCCCACUCAGAGAAACAGUCUGAGUAUCCAGAAAUUUUCUACCCUUUUCCUCCUCCUUCCCGAAUAAACGAAAUUAGUCCUUGAACUUUAAAAGUAUUUUAUAAAUUAAAAAAUUAGUUUUCUAUCAGUCUUCUUGUCAGUGUGAUUCUGAACGGUUCUCAAGAGUACCUUCUCUUUUAUAAAAUAAACACUUCAUACUGUUUGAAGUAUAUGUGAAGCUUCAUUUUUGUUCAGUGUUCCUUACUUUCCACCCUGAAAAGCUAUUUCUGAGGAACUCAAACCCCAGAAGAUAGCCACCACAAAAACGUUAAUUUUUUUUUUUAAAAAAGAUGAUUCAAAGCAAGACUUAAGGAGAGGUAAUAUUUCGGAGUUAAAAGGCAGCAAAUGCAGCCUCUGAAGGGACUUGUUCUAAUUAUUACCAAAAAAUAAAGUUACACAGCUGUAUUCAAGGUCACAAAGUAAAGCAGUACUUUAAAACUAGACUGAGUGAGCAGGCGGAAAAACAAAAAACAAAAACAAACAGAACUGAAGAGGGAAGGGAAAAG